ensembl:lncRNA
GGUAAUGGAUGCCUUAUUUUACGUCAUGAGCAGGAGCCAGCCUGGGACAGAGGCAAUUAAUAGUCAGGCUAUGCGCCUGAUUUUGGAGGGCAGCUCCAGGGCCAGGAGUACUUAUUUCUUAAAAAAAAACAUUCUUAAAGGAGCCAGUGCCAUCUUCGGGCCCUACUUGCUGGGAGAGUGCCACUGGACCCUCUUUCAUUGCAACUUGAAAGAGGGAACUAUUACCUACAUCGACUCCUUGGGGGAGCAACCACAGCAUUGCUUCCAAAUAAUGGAAAAUUGGAGCUUAUUUGCUGCUAGCAGAGGCUGCCAAGGGCCCUGGAAGAUGAUGAAGAGGGACCAUGACUUACAAAACGACUCUUUGUCAUGUGGGGUGUUCUCACUAAUGUUUGCAGAAAUGAUCCUCCAGGGACAACAAGGGCACCUCCAAUGCCUCCCUAUCGCUCAAGAGCGGGAGAGACUUGGGACUUUGUUGUUCAACUCCCUUGGUAAGUAGUAGACAUAUGUACGAUACAAAGACUCUAAGAAGAAAAAAGGGAAAAAUCGCCAAGUCUAAAAAUACAGUUUGUUCCCUGAAUGCUGUUCUCUGAUUGGUCUUAAAUAUAGUAGAUGGUGGCCUUGCACAGGAAUCUGAGUCCACAGAGGGUGAACAAGUAUUAUUCGAAGUGGAGAGUGUUCUCCGGUUACCUGACGGGACCAAGGCCAAAAGAAGAAUGUCUGGCCCUUGCAGAGGAUGUAAAUUACAUGGGUUUUAAAUACCUACCAAUUCAAAAAAUUGGCCAGGCUUGCCUGGAGGAGGACCAACAUCUUGAGGCCAUCGUCAAGGCCCAACACUGCAGGCAGACACUAACAAGCAUAAAGACCGCGAUGGAGGCCAACUUGUCCUAUUACAACCUCGCUACGCAUGGCCUUGGGCCAGAAAUGUUGAAGGGUUGACGAGAAGACAACAAAAGGGUGAAAACAUAAUUUGCCAAAUACAUGUUAAGUUAAACCAUAGGAAUGUAUGGAAAGUCUUGGUUUUGGACUGAGAAUGUAUCAAAGUUAUAAAGCAAUUUUCUUUAUUUGUAAUUGUGAGUACAUUUUUCUUGGGGAUCAAUACUUUUACUGAAUUACGGGACCUGUGUACUUCACCACUUUGCUGGUAUAAUUUACAUUUCAUAUUGGUAAAACACUACUAUUGCUUCUGCCAUUAAUGUAAGUCUAUAUAUUUCCCAAAACUUCAUAAAACUUUGAUUUAAUUAUCAGUAUUUUAUUUACCUGAUCAACUACCAAGAAAAUUCAUCAACCAAACAAGACAGGCGCUUUCACAUGCAAACAAUGGCACCUCCAGAAUAACAGAAUUAAGUUCUUCUUGCUCUUCUUUUGUUUUUAAAGUUCUCA